rnacentral:rRNA from 1 species
AUGCCUCGCCUGGCUCGACGGCCACCCCGCCCGUGCCAUCCCGUACGCCAGCUUUGGCAUGGUCGUCACCGCCAUGGCAGGAACUCCAGAGGAGCUGCACGGACUGCGCGAGCUCGCAGCGGGCUGGAGGCCUCCGGCGCGCCGUUCCUCUGGUCGCUGCCGAAGGAGUCCUGUCCGCAGCUCCCGCUGGGGUUCCUCGACCUCGAGCACGGCAAGGUGGUGCCGUGGGUGCCGCAGGAGGCCAUGCUGUGCCACCCGUCAGUUGGCGCCUCUGUGACGCACGCCAGGUGGGCGUCGGUGCAGGAGGGCGUCUCCGUCGACAUGCCCAUGGCGUGCUGCCCCUUCUUCACCGACCAGAAGAUGAACGCGCAGCUAGUGGCGCGCGUCUGGGGUUUCGGCAUGGUCUUGGAGGAGCCCAUGAUGUGCGAAGCUGUGGCGGCGGCGGUGUCGUCGCUGCUCGCCCGGGAACAAGUCAUCCGAAUGUGGGAAAAGAUGCAAGAGAUGUCGGGCAAGGCGGCCAGCGCAUUCACCCCUGAUGGCGGUAGCAGGAAGAACUUAGAUAACCUUGUCAAGAUAGUAUGUCGACAACUGUGA